rnacentral:tRNA from 1 species
GGGCCCAUAGCUCAGUCGGUUAGAGCAACAGACUCAUAAUCUGUGGGUCGCUGGUUCGAGCCCAGCUGGGCCCA